CUGAAUACAAUUAGGAUCUAGAGACUGCGUCCACAUGGCGCGUGCUCGAUCCUUAUUCUUUCAUCCACACACACCUUUGUGCACUAUGGGGACGUCACGUCCCCCUUUUCAUACCAAACACCGAGUUUACACGCAUGUCUUUCAUAUACUCUAAGGAGUAAAUAUGUA
rnacentral:misc_RNA from 1 species